GCCUUCGUGGGGUAGUAGUCAGCAAGCUCGACACAUAACUGAGAGGUCCGUGGUUCGAUUCCCGGCGAAGGCG
rnacentral:tRNA from 1 species